CAUUAUUUCGAAAGAUUAGUUACCGAACUGAUAGGUUGAAGAUGAGGUAAAUGUAGCCCCAAAUAUGCGUUAAAUGCUAUGGUUACAUGGUGUGUCUAAAAAUAUGGAGAGAAUCUGUUAACGUAACAGAACAGAGAGACAAAAAGGAUAGAGAAAGAGAGGUCCAUAGGGAUAGUAGUUUUCUAUUGUAGCUUACUUUGAUACCAACUAUUGACUACUUAACACUUGUUUUAAAUUUCUUUGUUCCCAGGUGAUUUUUGUCAUCCUUUGCUGGGGAAACUUAAGAGACCAAAUUAGGUGGUGUUGUCUGAAAUUUUGGAGCUUGUCUACAAGCAAAGCCUCCAACAACACUUUAAUCACUGAAAUGGGGUAUACCUGAAGCUAAUUUAAUCAUCUACAAAAGAAGCUAGUCCUUGAAAGUAUUGUCAUGUUGAUGUUCUGUGAACAUGACAACUCUAUGUUCUCCAGAUCUCUACCAAAUUCUUUUUCAUUUUCUUUAUUUUUUAAUUAUCAUCAUUUCACAUAUUAGUAGAACUGAGAACAUUGGGUUUCUUGGUUCAUGAACCAUAUCUUCAAAUGAUUUUGAAGAUGAACCAGGAACUAAACUUUAGAGCCAUGAAAACGACCUAUGAAAAAGCAUUAAAUCUGGUUUUUUUGAGUUGGAAAUUCAUUGAGCUUCAGAAAAUCUCUUUAUUUUCAGAAUAGGUCUUAGAGUUGAGGAAAUUAUUUGCCCUGGAAUUAACGAAGUAUCCAGGCAAAAGGAAGCCAAAUUCUGUCCAAACACAUUGGCUAUUCCAUGGUUAGUUAUAGCCAAUGUGAAACUUUUUGAAAAGCUUUUAUUAACUAAGAUAUUGGAAAUGGAAGCUGAUUUUGCAUUUUAGUAUGCAUAGUAACUGAUUCAUCUUGUAUAGUGUUUAUUUAUUUAAAUACUGGACAGAUUGGUACCUAAUCAAUCAGUUUCUAUUUUUUUAAUUCUAUGGGUAUGGGUAUAACUGCUCAUUAGUUUGAACUGGUUUGCUUCGAGAUUGGAGAUAUCAUAUCUCAAUGAUAUAAGUGGCUUGAAAACAAGCAAAAUCCAGUAAAAAAAAAUACUAUCCAAGUAAAUUAAUGUGUGCCAAGUUUUCUGAUUAUGUUUGUGUUGGGUGUAACAGAAAUGCUGAUUGUAUCUAUUUUUGUUCUUAGAGUUGGCAUGUGCUCUAAGAACAUUGAAAAAUCCAAUGUUGUAUAUCUACUGCAUAUAGUUUUUUAGAAUUUUUUGUGUUUAUAUUCUUGGAGUUGGCAUGUGCUCUAUCAAACAUUGUGUUUAUACGCUGUGUUCAACUAAAUGAUCAAUAAAAGACAAAUUAUAUGUGAAUAUAUGAAUUAAGCAAAAUUUUCACAACAGUUGAAAAAUCAUCAGACAGGUCUGCAACUGGCCACUGGCCAGAAGCUGCUUCUUCCACUUGAAAUUUGUUUGGAAGAGAGAAUGAGGGGAUUGGAGGUGGAGUAUAAAACAGUUUGGGAGAAGAUUGGGGAGAUUGAGGAUUUGGUAUUGAGGAUAGAGACCGUGUGAAUGAGUUAUGGGGUGAGGGAGCUUUGUUUUAUUGAGAGGCAAUCUGAGCAGUUGGUGGGGAGGUUUAUACACUUAAUGAGGAACAAUCAUGAUGACAGAAAAUGUGAAGUUCCAAGAAGCCAUUACUCUAGCUGAUGAUCUGAGUGGAACUUGUACAAUUCCAUGGAGGGAAUUGUGAAGAGCAGUAAACAGGUA